rnacentral:rRNA from 1 species
UGGGGAAUAUUGCACAAUGGGGGAAACCCUGAUGCAGCGACGCCGCGUGAGUGAAGAAGUUAUUCGUAACGUAAAGCUCUAUCAGCAGGGAAGAAAAUGACGGUACCUGACUAAGAAGCCCCGGCUAACUACGUGCCAGCAGCCGCGGUAAUACGUAGGGGGCAAGCGUUAUCCGGAUUUACUGGGUGUAAAGGGAGCGUAGACGGCAAUGCAAGUCUGGAGUGAAAAUCCGGGGCUCAACCCCGGAACUGCUUUGGAAACUGUGUAGCUAGAGUGCAGGAGAGGUAAGCGGAAUUCCUAGUGUAGCGGUGAAAUGCGUAGAUAUUAGGAGGAACACCGGUGGCGAAGGCGGCUUACUGGACUGUAACUGACGUUGAGGCUCGAAAGCGUGGGGAGCAAACAGG